UGUCCUUCUUGAUUGUCACUAUGAUUAUGAGAAUAUGAGAGAGUUCCAGAAGGUCUGCUUCUGGAAAGAUCACAACUCCACCAGUUACAGUGUCCAAUUAGGCCUUGAUCAUCCUACUAAUAGAACCAGACACAAAAGAUCACUACCCACAGACAAGACUUUGCAAACUCACACCAAUUGUUCUUCUAAAUCAGUAUUUUGGUGGAGCCGUGCUAAAGAGACUAGAACACAAGAGGAUUUUAUAUGUAAUGGCGGCAAAACCUGCCUUGUACUUAAUAUUACAACUAAAGGUCAAAUAUGCAUUGCUGCAAAGACUGCACAAGUAGUGGUCAAACCAUUGCAUGAUGAUUCC